GACGAACGCUGGCGGCGUGCUUAACACAUGCAAGUCGAACGGACAGGCCCUGCUUUUGUGGGGUGCUCGUGUGGCGAACGCGUGAGUAACACGUGAGUAACCUGCCCUUGUCUUUGGGAUAACUUCAGGAAACUGGGGCUCAUACCGGAUAGGAGCUCUUGCUGCAUGGUGGGGGUUGGAAAGAUUCGGCGGUUGGGGCUGGACUCGCGGCUUACCAGCUUGUUGGUGUGGUAGUGGCUUACCAAGGCUUUGACGGGUAGCCGGCCUGGGAGGGUGACCGGCGACAUGAGGACUGAGAGACGGCCCAGACGCGUACGGGAGGCAGCAGGGGGGAAUAUUGCACAAUGAGCGGAAGCCAGAUGCAGCAACGCCCCGUGCGGGAUGACGGCCUUCGGGGGGUAAACCGCUGUCGCCUGUGACGAAGCGGGAGUGACGGUAAUGGGUAAAGAAGCACCGGCUAACUACGUG
rnacentral:rRNA from 1 species